UUCAAUUGAAGGACAGCGGCAAACGGCGUAGUAAUGCGUAGGUACGUACCCUCAGGUUGGGGAUAGCCACGGGAAACUGUGGGUAAUACCCAAUAAUAUCUGCGGAUCAAAGGUGUGAUUCCGCCUGAGGAGCGGCUUACGUGAUAUUAGCUAGAUGGUGGGGUAAUGGCCUACCAUGGCGACGAUGUCUCGGGGGUGUGAGAGCAUGGCCCCCACGACCGGAACUGAGAUACUGUCCGGACACCUACGGGUGGCUGCAGUCGAGAAUCUUCCGCAAUGGGCGAAAGCCUGACGGAGCGACGCCGCGUGCGGGAUGAAGGCCCUUGGGUUGUAAACCGCUGUCAGAGGGGAUGAAAUCAUGGUUGGUUAUCCUUCCAUGUUGACAGAGCCUCAAAGGAAGCACGGGCUAAGUACGUGCCAGCAGCCGCGGUAAUAAGGGCGA
rnacentral:rRNA from 1 species